GCCACUAUUUGAGAUUUCAGAAUUUCUUAAUGGGGCAAGCCAUUUAUUCUAACAUUAAUCUCUACUUCUCUACUACUAUUAAAAGAGCAAACCUAAACUUCUCUAAAAUCACACAACAAACUGUACACGGGAUAACCAGAACCUUUGGAUUAAACCAACUUAAACGCAUUCACUAUCCAUAUUAGAUCAAUAGUCUGCCACCCAAAUCAACGCCUCAGAUUAAAUGUUCUGCCAAGCAGACGCCCUGGUCUGCCAAUCGUCCGCGCUCGCAUCCUCUAAUCCGCGUGGCCCUCCCUGAUUUACGGAACGCAGUUAGUGCGUGACACGAUAUCCUUAACAACCGAUGAUUUCCUUUUUCUCUCUACCUCUUUCUCGGCAAAAAACCGCUCCCUCCCCUAGAGUCCCUCCCGCAGACCUCUCCCCAUGGCCCCAUCACCCGUCGUCGUCGCCGCUCGUCGCCGCCGCCUCCCCAUGCGAUGGAGGCAUCUCUCCCUUAUUUCCCAAGUGCGCGGCAGAUGACGGAAAGGACGACCGCCAACUCUCUCUUCUCCCUCGCCCCGCUCCGCCUCACCCAUCGCCGUCUCAUCUCCCGCACCCCCGGCACAGCCUCACGCUUCCGGACGGUUGCCUCAACCGUCCCCUGGCCCGAUGGGGGCGCGGGGAGCGCGCUGCUCUCGGUGCUCGACCGGGCGCUCACCGACAAGGAACAAUACUGUCGCGAGGGCUCCCAGGUGCGACGCAAGGGCAUGGAGGCAGAGAGGUCCGUCGUAGAGGUGAUCCAGGUGCCGGUGAGGAGGAAGAAGGUGGUGAAUGCCACACAUCAGCAAUCGUCCUCCCACGCCAGACACGCCCAUGUUCUGUUGCUGCUGAUCCCGCAUCACGAUACACAUAAACUGUUUGAGGUUAAAAUGACGGUUGUUCUUGGGGAGCUUGGAGGAAGUGACGAGUAUUCGCUCCUCGAAUCCUUGAAACAAGGAAAGGUCGAGAAACCUGUUCUUGCUUGGGUUAGUGGGACGUGUGCACGUUUGUUGAAAUUUGAUUCCAGUUUUUCCAUGCUGUAAGUUGUAAACAAAAUUUCCUCGAGUUCCAGUGAGCUGAACAAGUAUGCGCAGAUGUACUUUUUUUUUUUUGUAUAAGAGGGUGCGGUGAGUGGUGGUGAGUUGGAAUCUACACAAGCUAAGAAUCAUUCACUAUGGGAUGCUGGGGCUGUUGUUCCUACUUCAUUUGAAGCUCUUGAAAGGAUUAAGGAUUUCAGAAGCUGGUUGAGGAAGGAAAAAUUCCUCCUGUCCCCAAGGUUACACCUCCCCCCAUUCCUGAAGAUCUUAAAACUGCCAUUGAAAGUGGGAAGGUCUGAGCUCUUACAAUUUAUCUCCACUAUCUCUGAGGAUAGAGGUUAGAUUGGUGGCAACAUGUUAUCCUACAUAUAUUCUUGAUUGUUGUCUUCUGGAUAUUAUGAACCUAUAUUCGUUACCAAGAUGCUAAGACAUGGGUUCAAGGAACCCCAAUAAAGCGUUCGAUUACAACAUCGGGUGCCUCUUUUCACUAUAAUUAGAUGGUGUGAAUAAUUGUUCAACUCAGGAGAGAGACCCACUCUGGGAAAGGGUUGCUUGCGUAGGCUUGCAUCUUGCUUUCUGCAUCUCGGUAUAUCUUUCCAUAUAAAUUGUAACAGUGGGCACCUUGAUACUUGUUCCUUUGGCGUUAACCGUGUGGGGAAGUUGAGCUCAGAAACUGCCGUGAAAGCACUUGAUGCUUGAACCCACCGGUAGUAUAAUGGAGCGAACAUUCUUAGAAUUUUAGUCUGAUCCGAUUAUCUGUCAUCUAGAUCCAUUCAAUGGUGACAAUGUAUGAGAUAGUGAUGGAAAUUCUAAGUACAUAAAUUUUGUGUGCGGGUAUCACAUGCUACAUUUACUUGUUUAGCGACAAAUCUAAAUGGCUUUGUUUACUGAUUAUUAGUGUUAAGAAGCUCGACAUGCUUCAGGAAAUUUUAAGACGAAAAAGGCCCGCUUGGCUACUAAAUUGAGAUAUCUUGAUAAAAUUUAAGAUGUCCCCCUGCUGUUAUGAAUUACUUGGUUCUGAUCGGUUCGGUUUAUAGUAGAUUUUUUGUGCUAAUAACUCUUUUUACAUAAAUAAAUGUCUUUGGUGGUAGUGUACUUACUUUGCUGCUUCUGGGUUUGUGAGAGAAAAGAAGAUGUAGACAUUGAUAAAUGAUAAUGGUAGUGGAGUGUCUUCUUUACCAUAAAAAUAUACAUGGCAUGUUCUACAAACUGCGUAUGUCUUAUUCUUUUUUCCGUACAAGCACUUAAGUACCCUAUAUUUUUUACAUUAGCCUAAAUUUAUCAGUGUUGCAUACUGAAAAUUUGCACAUGUGUGUUAUGCCUUCAUGUAUAUCUGUUAUUUUUUCAGAAUAUUCUGAAAUGUAAAUAUAUGAAUUGUGAUGAAAUUUGAAAUUUGAAUUUGGAGACCUCCAUGGAGGCUGAGCUCCAAAGGCCAUUUUCGGGUAAUAAUGUUAAUAAAGAACAUAUAGAAGUAGUUCCCUUUUCAUUAUAUUCCACACGAUUCGACUGGUGAAAGGGAGAUCAUGGGAAGAUAUAUUUGAUUUUUAAACUUGCAAUUUGUUCUGUACUUCAUUGUUUCUAACUAAUACUUCUGUUUUCUGCACUCCAGAAUUUUAGGUGCUUUGGAAUCCAUGGGUGGUAAGAAUUCUUAUUUGUAGUAGGUCCUCCCUGAUGUAAGUAGCUCUCCCCUGGGCUACUACAUUCAGUACACCUGCCGUCCAUAUCAAGAAAUUCUGCUCCAUUGCUUUUCUACUACAUUGAGGACUAUGAUCAUUUGUUUCGAAGAGAGUUUUACUGUUGAGAUUUUUAUUUGCUUUGUAGCUUCAUAUGUUCAUACUUCCACCAGAUAGUAUAAAAAAAUGGCGCUGCAAAGCCCCCUGCUAUAAAUUGAGUUAACUUUUAGCUUUGCGGUCAGUCAACCAAAUUUUGGUGAUUGGUUGAUAGCCCCUAUCUAUUUGUCAGUGACAAUUGUCAUCAUCUUUUGAAGGAAUAAUUCUGGUUCUGAUAAAGAACCAUGCUAUACUUAUUUGUUUUCUGUAUAAGCAUCAAAUCUUUCAAAUGGAUGUUGUGAUUAGAAUAAUGACAACAUUAGUGUUCAUCACUAUUCUUCUUCGACUUGAAUAGAUCUAUGUUAUUGGAGCAUUUGUAUCAAUCAAAAAAAUUGUUGAAAAAUUCAUAGAUUCGUUGCAGAUGAAUAACUAACCAGGCACAAAUCCAUUUCAGUAUGAGCAUGCCCCGUUUACCGACCUAACGAACACUCGUGAUAAUCAGCGUCGUCCCGGGCAAAACCAAAUCUGACAUUUUUGUCUGAAUUUAUCUAACACUAUGGAAUAGGGUAAAUGAUAACCAAAAGAAAAAAAAAGUGAGAUUAUGAUUAGUCAUAUUACCUGUAAUCCAUUCUCUUUUGCUUUAAGGGAGUUGGUUUGUCGAUAAUCAUGACCAACUGAAACUGAUUAAACUAGUAGAGCCUGACCUCAGUUGGUGCGAGUGCUCUAUGAAAGCUUGGGAUUUACCCUGCUAAUGUGCCACCUUUGGUUUUGGUUCAGGAAGAAGAAGGUAGUAUAUGGCGACGAGUGUAACUUGCUUGAUGCUUUUUUCAAUUCAUUUGUUCUACCAAAAGUACUGGUAUUAGGACGUUUUCUACACAUUUGGAAUAGAUUAUCAAGAAAAUUUAGAUAUAGUCUGAUCAAAUUCAUUUAAAUUCAGUUUAAUUAUAGGGCCUGUUCAUUUUUAACAUUGAUUUUAUCAUGUUAUAAAAUUUUCAUACCAUGUAGUUCUUAAAACUGCAUAUAUUUUCCUACUGGAGGUGCCACUUGUGGUCACAAUGCUGCAAAUGGAUGGUGCAUGGACGCAUAUUUUAACUCUCAUGAGUACUUGUAGAAGAAGAAUUGUACAAUGUUGAAAGAUGUUAUUUGCAUCUACAAAGAGGGAUCAUAUCUUUCGAUUGGUUCCAUAAGAAUCAGGAGCAGCAGCUAAUGGACAUGCUAGUGAGCCCCGAGGGCGGUGGCCCCUGCAACAUGAAGAAGAGUAGAAGACCAUCCGGACAAAGGGGAGGUACACAGAUAGCCAAGGACGCAAGGAGACAUGCAGGUCUGCGUUUCAGAGCUACUCCCUCCGUUCGGAAUUACUUGUCGCAGAAAUGGAUGUAUCUAGACGUAUUUUAGUUCUAGAUACAUCCAUUUUCGCGACAAGUAAUUCCGAACGGAGGGAGUAUCUCUUUCAGCACCAGCGAUUAAAUGCUCUGUAGCUGGUCAGGCGUGCUUGCCUAAAAUGUACUCUACUUUGUUAGUUUCUAGAGCCAUGCUAGCUUUGUAUGUUCUUCUUGCAGCCUCAACUAGCUAAUUCUAUUUGAAGCCAAUAUUGUUCUAUCCUUCCAAUUACAGUUAUUCAGAUCUUUUC